UACGGAGGGGACUAGCGUUGUUCGGAAUUACUGGGCGUAAAGCGCACGUAGGCGGAUUUGUAAGUCAGGGGUGAAAUCCCGGGGCUCAACCUCGGAACUGCCUUUGAUACUGCAAAUCUCGAGUCCGGAAGAGGUGAGUGGAAUUCCUAGUGUAGAGGUGAAAUUCGUAGAUAUUCGGAAGAACACCAGUGGCGAAGGCGACUCACUGGACACGUAUUGACGCUGAGGUGCGAAAGCGUGGGGAGCAAACAGG
rnacentral:rRNA from 1 species